UGUAAGCAACAGACAGAAAUGGAAGCAAAUCUGCUGAUUUUCCCUCAUGACCCUGAAGAAUUUUGGGAUGGGGAGGAAGAGCAUUGAAGAACGAGUCCAAGAAGUGGCAAAGCACCUUGUGGAGGAGUUAAAAAAAACAAAAGACCAGGCCCUCGAGUCCAAGACCUUGGGAAUAGCAGUGUCCUCCUCGCCUCCAAAUCCCUUCUAGGCCAAUCUCUCCAGUUCUCAUGAAGAGGAUAAAUCACUGUGGAGAAGAGGAUAAAUAAAGCUUUUAGGAGAAAACUUCAAGAUUCUAAAUUCCCCAUGGAUGAGGUCUACAAUUCUUUUCCAUCUCUAAUACAUUAUCUCCCUGGAUCUCAUCACAAAGUAAUUAAAAUUUUUGAUUUACUACAUGAAUUUAUUUUGGAAGAAGUGAAGGAGCACCAAAGGACACUGGACCCAAGCAAUCCUCAGGACUUCAUUGACUGUUUCCUGAUGAAAAUGGAGCAGGAAAAGCAACAACCACAAUCUGAAUUUACCAUUGAUAACUUGGUCCGCACUAUAAGUGAUCUAUUUGCUGCAGGAACAGAGACAACCAGCACCACCCUGAGAUAUGGACUCCUGCUUCUCCUGAAAUACCCUGAGAUAGAAGGAAAACUUCAUAAAA